GAUGAAGAACGUAGCAAAAUGCGAUAAGUAAUGUGAAUUGCAGAAUUCAGUGAAUCAUCGAAUCUUUGAACGCACAUUGCGCCCGCCAGUAUUCCGGCGGGCAUGCCUGUUCGAGCGUCAUUUCAACCCUCAAGCACAGCUUGGUGUUGGGACUCGCGUUAAUUCGCGUUCCCCAAAUUGAUUGGCGGUCACGUCGAGCUUCCAUAGCGUAGUAGUAAAACCCUCGUUACUGGUAAUCGUCGCGGCCACGCCGUUAAACCCCAACUUCUGAAUGUUGACCUCGGAUCAGGUAGGAAUACCCGCUGAACUUAAGCAUAUCAAUAAGCGGAGGA
rnacentral:misc_RNA from 1 species